ACAUCCUUCCAUGGCUGGAACACUGUAAAAGACAGUCACACAGUUGACUUCUCCAAAGCCUGUGGUUCUAGGAAACAGUAGCUGCUGAUACUGAGUUUUAUCCCUUUCAUUUGAUCUUCCUGGCAAACCUUGGUCCCGAGGACUUACCGACACGCUCAGAUUGUCAGAGAAAUCAGCUCGAGAUGAGUGACAAUGAACUACUUUGGAAAUGACUUUGUGUCUGUGUUUUCAUAAAGAUGGAGUUCCUUGGUAGCCAGGGGGCAGGGCGGCUUGCAGCUGCUGCCUCAUAGCCUUCUCUUAAAUCCUGCGAAGGAGGCAGGUACAAUACAUUAAUAAAUGAAAUGGAAUUAAUAAGUAAAACUGCAGAAGGCCAGGGUUAGCCCUAGCAUGCCAAUUCACGACACUCUGGGGAGAUAAAGAGAAAAAUCAAAAGUUCCCUUGGCAAUCGUAAAAAUGAGCAAAGGGACCAAAGGGGGGAAAAAAGGAAGAAGAAGAAAAAAAAAAAACGGAGCAUCAUCUGAUUGUCUUCAAUCAAUAGCUCCUCAGCAGCCUCCAUUGCCCCAUACGCUCAGCUGCUUUUGUUUUUGUAGCACAUGGCUUUUACGGAAUAGCAUGUAUUUUUAUGGAUACGUACUUUCCAUUGUCUGUGUUUCUUAUUAUCAUAAACUCCCAGAGCACAGCAGUUUUGUCUGUCUUGCGCACUGCUUCAUCCCCAGUGUUUAAGGCUGUAUCAACCACACAAGAGAUUUUUGAUAAGUAUUCACUGAACGAAUGAAUUGAAUUCAUUUAAGGAUAAAUAGUCAUUGAAUGAAUGAUUAAACUCCGCUCAAAGUAAAUGAGGAGCUGAAUAAACUGGGUCUGGCGGUUUGAAAUAAGAGGCAUUAAAGGGAAUGUUAAUUUGCUUACCAAAUUAGAUUAGUUGAAGGCUUAAAGAAAGGAAAACGAAAACCUUAGGUGUUUCUUCCCUGUGAACACCAUAGGAUCUCUGGAAUGUUCUCUGGCCUGAUCACACUGAGGAGGCCCCAGAAGUGAAGCAUGUACUGGGAGAUCUUCAUGUUGCUUUCUCGUUUGUUCCUUACACAAAUCCUUCAGUGUAGAGAACCUAAGUGGACUAGAGAUGGAAAAAAAAAAUUAAGGUUUAAUUUCCUUUAGGAAAGCCAUAGAAACGUGCAUGAAAUACAGAACAAGAGGAGAUAUUACAGAAAGGCCGAGAACUCAGCUGUGUGCUUUCUCUUAUAUGGAGGCAAACAGCCACGGCCACGGGUCUGUCUUCCUCUAACGAUCCUCAGGGCCUUACACAAAGCCUUUGCAGAUGAACUCACUGGCCCUCCAGGCCUGGGUGAGCAGAGCAGCCACCUCAGUCUCAAGUCAUUCAGCGACGCUGUCAUAGGAAAACUGGCUUAUAUCGUGUGAGUGAGGGGCUUUGUAUGGCGUUCGGAUAACACACUGGCCUGGCUAUUCGCUCCUAGUAUCACCCACAGAGAGUCUGUAUUCUCCCAUCCCUAGGAAACCCAGACUCGUGGAAUCUGAAGUAGAAUCUUUGUCCAUAGUCACUCAACACUCUGGUAGAUAUGUUCAUUUCUUUCUCUCUUUGAAAGCACUGUAUUUGAUACACUGCAAAGAAUUGGUUUAUGACCCUUUGGGGAGAAGCAGCAAUAAGGAAGGAGGCGUCGGAUGCCCCAGUGUCUAUCAGGUGUUAUCCAGAAAAAAAGUAGAAAGUAGCUCAAAAACACUUUUUCAACUAUAAAAUAAUACUGUGCACCAUAUAUGAAUACCAUAUAUGAAUACCAUAUAUGAACCAUUUGGGGCUUUGUUGUAUGCUUUAUAUCUACAAUCUCUCUCUCUCUCUCUCUCUCUCUCUCUCUCUCCCUCCGCCCCCCUCUCUCUCAUUCUUUGCAUCCACCUUACCAAUCUGUGUCUAGGAGUAGGGUUUCCAGGGCCUUAGCAAACCAUUCCCAUCCCACAUAACCUCCCAGAGGUCCAGAAAAGAUGUGAGAAUUCCAGGGUAUACACCCUAUAGGACAACACCAAGCCAGAGUGUGGAGGCCUGAGAGGCUCAGAAGGGCUGUCUGCUCCCCUCCUGGUUCCCACCUCUGACCACACCACAAGGACUUCCCCUUCUGUGGUCUUUCUCUUUGCUGUCCUGGGCUCUCCACACCCAUCCACUCUUUCUCCAAUAUUGUUCCCAAAGCCUAUCUGGUCCCCAAUAGCUAGCACAGCAGUGCCCACCCCCCUCACCUGUGGGCACUGCAAGUUAAAGUUGACAGUGGCUUAGACACAAGGCUAAUUCUUCAAUGACAUUUAAUCCUCAUAGUAUCCCGAUGAAAAUGAUAUUGUUGUCUCCAUUUUUUAUUGGAGGCAGUUGGGGUCCAGUGAAGUCUUAAAAUUUACCCAUGUGAGAUGGCACAUAAAUGACCAUGUUAGGAGUAGACCCAGGUCUCCUUUUUUUCCUGGGCUGUGCUUCCAGGGGGGAUAGCAGUGUCCUGACCACUGCUCUGUUCUGCUCUUCAUCUUGUUUUCAGCUAGCACACCCUAAAUCUCUUGUAUCUGCCUCUUGUGUACUUAGGAUCACAGCCCUGUGCCACCAGACCCAGCCAGCUCAUUUUCUCUUCCCUUCCUUUUUCCCUGCCCUCUCUCCCUGCUCCCUCCCUUUCUUCCUCCUCCCCUCUAUACUUCUCUUCCUUCCUUCCAUUCUUCCUUCACAUUUGGGAUUAGACUCAUGGCUUAUGCACAGUAGGUAAUCAUUCCACCAUUGAGUGAUACGUGCAUCACGACUGAUUUCUGAGAGACUCCAGAGUGCGCUUUCGGUUGGGAAGCAGCCGCAAGGCCACUAUCAAUAACACACUUGCAGCUUCCUGAACACUUCAGAGGCCCUUUUCUGGAAAGGUCUGUCUCCGUGCCUAUCUGACCUAACAAGGCGAAAUGUCAGUAAACCUGUGUGGAAUCUAAUCCACACGUAGAACCUAUCAGGGUAAUGGGUCUUUGAGAUGUUUUGAGAGUACCACAUUGGUAAAAGGAAGUUUGGAGGAAUGUGUCCUCCUGCCUUGAAAUGUUUCAGCUAAAUGUGUGCUGGAGGACACUAUAGCAAGGGAAGCAAGGAACAAACACUUAAUGGGCUC
rnacentral:lncRNA from 1 species